rnacentral:rRNA from 1 species
UACGUAGGGGGCAAGCGUUGUCCGGAAUUAUUGGGCGUAAAGCGCGUGUAGGCGGCCAGAAAAGUCCGCUGUGAAAACUCGAGGCUCAACUUCGAGCUGUCGGUGGAAACUUUCUGGCUAGAGUCCGGAAGAGGAGAAUGGAAUUCCUGGUGUAGCGGUGAAAUGCGCAGAUAUCAGGAAGAACACCCGUGGCGAAGGCGGUUCUCUGGGACGGUACUGACGCUGGAGACGCGAAAGCGUGGGGAGCGAACAGG